CUCAUUGAUCACCUCGGAGGCCGGUUUGCUGGAAGGCGAGAAGAGGACAAAGAAAACCUGCCCACAGUCCCAGUUCAGGGAAGGUGCCUGCAGGGGCCCUG